rnacentral:lncRNA from 1 species
AAUGAACUUAAAAUAUUUUUUUGCCUUUGAGCAAUUCACUAUGCAGUUGAAUAUUAAUCCUCUCAAAAAAAUGUUUGAAGAAAUUUUUCUUUUUUUUAUGAAAUCUGAAAUGAGACAAGUUUACCCCCCCCCCCCCCCCAUUUUUUUUCACAUCCCCCUUUCCCUUUUUCCAAAACUGAUCUCAAUUCAAAUUUCUAAUGGAGUUUGCAACAAUAAC